rnacentral:rRNA from 1 species
GUACUAGCUUGCUGAUUCCUCCUUCUUGUAGAACCGUAAUGCCAUUAAUUUGGUGUUGCGGGGAAAUAGGACUGUUACUUUGAAAAAAUUAGAGUGUUUAAAGCAGGCUAGCGCCUGAAUACAUUAGCAUGGAAUAAUGAAAUAGGACGUUCGAACCUAUUUUGUUGGUUUCUAGGAUUGACGUAAUGAUUAAUAGGGAUAGUUGGGGGCAUUAGUAUUCAAUUGUCAGAGGUGAAAUUCUUGGAUUUAUUGAAGACUGACUACUGCGAAAGCAUUUGCCAAGGAUGUUUUUAUUAAUCAAGAACGAAAGUUAGGGGAUCGAAGACGAUCAGAUACCGUCGUAGUCUUAACCAUAAACUAUGCCGACUAGGGAUCGGAUGAUGUUAAUUUUUUAAUGACCCAUUCGCGCGCCUUACG